AAGCCCCAUAUCAUGCAAUGAGAGAAGUGAAAGUGUCAAAAUCUAACCGUCGAUGAAAAUUCAGAUAUGGAAAGUAUUUCUAACCUUCCACUUGCUACUCAGCACAUUGGUAGUGUGAAAGACAUCCUUGAUAACGGGAAGAUAUUUGAGAGUUUGACAAACCAAAGCAUAAGUAGCUCUUUUGUUCCUGACAGAGGGACUAUAAACCAACGACUUGAUGGUGCCAACGGCUCGACGUCGAGCGUCUCCUUGUAGAAUAGUUCGCAAAACCUUUGCAGCUUCUCUACGUGCAAAGAGUGCCGAGCGCUCAGCGCUGCUCAUACGGUUCUGGUUCGGCUUCUUCGCCGACGGUUUGGUAUCCCUUUGCGCCUUCUUCCGCGCCAUGAUUUCGAGUCUCCUGGUGAUAUCCAUCUGUUUAACAAAACUCGAAAUUUUCAAAAGCUCCACCGGAAUGGCCGGAGCUGCUGUUUUCUGCCGGCGUCACUGACCUCACGCAACUUUUCCUUCGCUGGAGCCGCAGCUGCGCCUCGUUGCACGCCGGAGUCGUCUCUGCUGCUUGUCGUCGCCGCUGCUGCUACUGGUCGCUGCUGCCUGGCGGUCCUGCAAAAAGAGAGGAGAAAAGAAGGGGGAAAAGAGGAGAGAAAGAGGAAGAAGGGAGGCGGAGGCGCCUGGUGUUGUUGUCACCGUAGCUGCUGCUCGCCGGUGAUCCGUU
rnacentral:misc_RNA from 1 species